GAGCGGCUUAAGGUGCAAACCUCGAAAGUUUGUGUGGGGGUAACUCUACCGUGGGUUCAAAUCCCACUCUCUCCGCCA
rnacentral:tRNA from 1 species